GAUGAACGCUGGCGGCGUGCCUAAUACAUGCAAGUCGAGCGAACAGAUGAGGAGCUUGCUCCUCUGACGUUAGCGGCGGACGGGUGAGUAACACGUGGAUAACCUACCUAUAAGACUGGGAUAACUUCGGGAAACCGGAGCUAAUACCGGAUAAUAUAUUGAACCGCAUGGUUCAAUAGUGAAAGACGGUUUUGCUGUCACUUAUAGAUGGAUCCGCGCCGCAUUAGCUAGUUGGUAAGGUAACGGCUUACCAAGGCAACGAUGCGUAGCCGACCUGAGAGGGUGAUCGGCCACACUGGAACUGAGACACGGUCCAGACUCCUACGGGAGGCAGCAGUAGGGAAUCUUCCGCAAUGGGCGAAAGCCUGACGGAGCAACGCCGCGUGAGUGAUGAAGGUCUUCGGAUCGUAAAACUCUGUUAUUAGGGAAGAACAAAUGUGUAAGUAACUAUGCACGUCUUGACGGUACCUAAUCAGAAAACCACGGCUAACUACGU
rnacentral:rRNA from 1 species